UUCGGUAAUUCCGUCCCGCUUCCGCCCGCUGCCCCCGUAUCCCCGGCCCCUCCCCUGCUGCAUUUAUCCUCCAAUAAACCCGAGCCGGCCCCUCGCAGAAGCGUCCGAUCGCCGCUUUCGGAAGGAGGGUCUCCCGCGGGACUCGAGAUUCACCCCGUCUACCCAGACGAUAUCCCAGAAAAUUCAUCUGCGGCACGACACGUUAUUCGGCACUCCGGAACAUUUACCCACCCCGAGCCCCUAUAUACAGAAUGACCUGACUUUUAAAUAAUGACUCUGUAGAGGGAGACAGAGCCCAGCUGAUGAAAACGGCUGGCAGCCGCUUUCAUUUCUGCCAUUCACAAGCCGGAGGAUCAUUUGUCACUUCUGACUCCAAUCCUGAGGACGAGAGCAGAGGCGAUGCGGAAUGGAAAGGGUGACCCGUGGCCGUCGGCUGGCCUUUUCACAAGGUCAUCUCAAUUCACCUUCUCCCAAACACGCAGCCUCAUAAGAUAAAAUCUGAUGAAGUUUAUUCUACUCCUUUCUCUUCUGGACAAACUAGUGUUAAACAGUGCUUUGGAAGACCAUUCUCAAUGGAAAACUGCAACCUACACACCAACUCAUCAGAACUGUCUGUGUAUUGUGUACCUUUUUUAUGCAGAACAGGUUUAAAAACAUCCAUCAGGGAGUAACUUUUGUUUAAAUCUACUCACAAGCCCCGUGAGAUGUUCCACAAUAUGUGCCUGACCUUACAUAGGCUCUGUUGAAACCAGGGCAAAAGAGGCAAAUUUGAAGCCAAAGAAUGAUACCUGCACCUGAAAUCAAAUAGCCUGACUUACACAAAACCUACUUCGAACGUAAUUCAAUUCAAUGGCUGUCAAGACCUGUCUGAAAGUUAACGGUUUCACUUGGAUCAGUGGUUUCACCAAUCGCUGAUAGUCACGUGUCAGAAGUGUAGAAAGAGUAAAGAAAUCUCCCAGAGCAAUGGCACGGCUCAUUUCAGGAGGCUUUUUUUCUAGUUCUGAAAUAUGUACUGGGACACAAUUUGAUUGCUCAAAUAGCAGACAGACCUUAACUGUAGUAGUCGAGGAGAACUGGCCCCCUGAUUCGGUGCAUGUGUACUGAGUACAGUUAUCAUAUGGUGCUUUAUAACUCUUUCCAACCUGAAAAACAACAGGAAGAAUAAAUAAAUCAUAACAUAAUAAGACAGCACAAACACAAUAAUGCAAUAGUAAUGCAGACCCCGGUAGAAGGGCUGUGAUGUCCAAAUCAAUCCAAUAGUGCUGAGAUGUUUAUUUCCAAUCUACUGAGCUCACUUGCUACCAGCCUCCACAAAAUCCCUAUUCUGGUCACCUAUGUGGAAAAAAGCACAAGCUUGUGGCAGAAUAAACACAGAGAUGGAAGAAAAGCAAAUAGUUUGAAAGAGGAAAAUAAUCUUCAUAAUAGAGGUUAAUGGAUAAAAGCAAAACCUCCUCAUGGUAACCGCCUUUUAAGUGGAAGCAUAAGAAUUGUGCAUUAGCACAAGAGAAGCCAAUUGCAACAUAAAUUUUCAAGGAAAGAAAGGAUGAAACAGAAGAGAUGCAGAGCUCAAGAGCUACCAGAGGAGAAAUAUCACAUAAGACAGCCACCAGGUGAGACAGCGUCAUUAACUGUUCACACCAAUAGCAGGAGGUAAUACAAGCAAACAGCCAGCCUGAGGCUCAGCUCACAUCUAUGCAAGGGUAAGCUGAGAAGACCUAGCGUAUUACCUGGGUGCAUUAGUGAUGUGCACUACAUGCACUACAGCAGCUAUGACACCUUCAAUUUCUGCCCCAGCAAAUUUGUAACAAGCGUUAGUACAGUAACAUAGCUCGCUCAAACUAUUUAGCCCCGUAUCUUCAGGGCAAGAUAAUGACUCUGCUUCCAGUACUGGAGCAAUAUAAUGUGAAGCCAUCUCACAUAUCUGUGCAAAAGCACACACAAUGUCACCACCCCCUACAAAUUCCUUUUCUCUGCUGCAUGCCAGGAAGAAGGAGUGACAUGAUUUCCUUUCCUCAUAAAUUAUUUUCAAGAUAGCAGUGUCUGCAAGAUAUGCACAGCAAAGAGAGCGGCCAUAUAAACUUUGACAUUUACUUUGGAAAUACAGAUAUUUCCUAAUUUCCUAAAGGUCUUCCCAGCCUCAAAAUGUAUGACACUAGUUCAAAAAGCAUUGAAGUCAAUUCAGCUCAGCAUGCAAAGCAAGGCAGCGCUCACCUCAAUGGUCACAGUGCCAAAUGGGAAG